rnacentral:misc_RNA from 1 species
GACGUAGGGGGCAAGCGUUGUCCGGAAUCAUUGGGCGUAAAGCGCGCGCAGGCGGCUCGUUAGGUCGGUUGUGAAAAUACGAGGCUCAACCUCGUGCCUGCAUCCGAUACUGGCGAGCUCGAGGCAGGUAGGGGAGAUCGGAAUUCCUGGUGUAGCGGUGAAAUGCGCAGAUAUCAGGAGGAACACCGGUGGCGAAGGCGGAUCUCUGGGCCUGUCCUGACGCUCAGGCGCGAAAGCGUGGGGAGCAAACAGG